rnacentral:lncRNA from 1 species
GGAAACGGCAAACCACCCACAAGGGACUGAUGCCAUCUAUGGCGACAGGAACAACUUGAAAUUGAUCAGGGAAAAUUUAUUGAAAGAUGGCCUCCUGCAACUGCUCAAAAUGCAACAUUCUCCCCAAGUCCUUCUCAGACCACUGACAACUCAGAAGUUAACACUCAAGAGAGGAAAGGUGAGUCAAGGCUGUUUGAUGACUACCCCAUGAAAAGAAUCGGAAUCACAUUCCUCUUGAUUCCUGUGUCUUUCUUAACAACGUUAAGUGUAAUG